UACGGGGGGGGGCAAGCGUUAAUCGGAAUUACUGGGCGUAAAGCGUGCGCAGGCGGCUUUGCAAGACAGAUGUGAAAUCCCCGGGCUCAACCGUGGGAACUGCAUUUGUGACUGCAUGGCUAGAGUACGGUAGAGGGGAUGGAAUUCCGCGUGUAGCAGUGAAAUGCGUAGAUAUGCGGAGGAACACCGAUGGCGAAGGCAAUCCCCUGGACCUGUACUGACGCUCAUGCACGAAA
rnacentral:rRNA from 1 species